UGGGGAAUAUUGGACAAUGGGGGGAACCCUGAUCCAGCCAUGCCGCGUGUGUGAAGAAGGCCUUAUGGCUGUAAAGCACUUUAAGCGAGGAGGAGGGUACUGGUAUUAAUACUACCAGGUACUGGACGUUACUCGCAGAAUAAGCACCGGCUAACUCUGUGCCAGCAGCCGCGGUAAUACAGAGGGUGCGAGCGUUAAUCGGAUUUACUGGGCGUAAAGCGUGCGUAGGCGGCUAAUUGAGUCGGAUGUGAAAUCCCCGAGCUUAACUUGGGAAUUGCAUUCGAUACUGGUUAGCUAGAGUGUGGGAGAGGAUGGUAGAAUUCCAGGUGUAGCGGUGAAAUGCGUAGAGAUCUGGAGGAAUACCGAUGGCGAAGGCAGCCAUCUGGCCUAACACUGACGCUGAGGUACGAAAGCAUGGGGAGCAAACAGG
rnacentral:rRNA from 1 species